GACGAACGCUGGCGGCGUGCCUAAUACAUGCAAGUAGAACGCAGUUGCGAACGGGUGAGUAACGCGUAGGUAACUGCCUCAUAGCGGGGGAUAACUAUUGGAAACGAUAACUAAUACCGCAUACUUUGAGAUGGACCUGCGUUGUAUUAGCUAGUUGGUGGGGUAAAGGCUCACCAAGGUGACGAUACAUAGCCAGCCUGGGAGGGUGAACCGGCAAACUGGGACCGGGGACCGGCCCAGACUCCUACGGGGAGCAGCCGUAGGGAAACUUUGGGAAUGGACGGAAGGUUUGACGGGCAAAGCCGGGGGAGGGAAGAAGGGUUUCGGAUUGUAAAGCUAUGUUGUUAGAGAAGCGGUAACUAACCAGAAAGGGACGGCUAACUACGUGCCAGCAGCCGCGGUAAUUC
rnacentral:rRNA from 1 species